AUUGAACGCUGGCGGCCGGCUUAACACAUGCCAGUCGAGCGAGCGGCGGCCGGGUGAGUAAUGUCUGGGAAACUGCCUGAUGGAGGGGGAUAACUCCUGGAAACGGUAGCUAAUACCGCAUACCCUCAGAUGUGCCCAGAUGGGAUUAGCUAGUAGGUGGGGUACUGGCUCACCUAGGCGCCGAUCCCUAGCUGGUCUGAGAGGAUGACCAGCCACACUGGAACUGAGACACGGUCCAGACUCCUACGGGAGGCAGCAGUGGGGAAUAGUGCACAAGGGGCGCAAGCCUGAUGCAGCCAUGCCGCGUGUGUGAAGAAGGCCUUCGGGUUGUAAAGCACUGUCAGCGAGGAGGCGUUACUCGCAGAAGAAGCACCGGCUAACUCCGUGCCAGCAGCCGCGGUAAUAC
rnacentral:rRNA from 1 species